AUGGUGAUGAUGGUGGUGGUGGUGGUGGUGAAGUUAGUGUUGGUGGUGGUGGUGGUGGUGAUGUUGCUGGUGGCAGUUGUCAUGGUAGAGUUUUGGGGAAGAUGGAGAGGGUUAAGAUUAAGAUAAAGAUUAUUGGAUAAGGCUUAAGAAGUCUGUAGGUGCUGGUGAGAGGAUGCAGGUAGAAAUGGUUUUAGUGAGCAGUUAAAAUAGAGUGAGAGAUAGAGAUGAAGAGAGUGGUUGUGUGUGGGUGGAGUUGAGAGAAAGAGAGGUGUAAGGGAAUGUAUAUGUAAGGGAUGCAUGUAGGAGGGAAGAGGAAAUUGUAUAUGAUUGUGUAGGAGGUGAAACAGACUGGGUGUGGUUCAGUGAAGAAAGUGAUAGUGGGUGUGGCUGUGUGCAGAAAAAUCAAGUGAUAGUGGGUGUAGUCGAGUAUGAAGAAGAAUCAGACAAUGGGCGUGGCUAUGUGUGGGUAGGAAGUGAAACAGAUAGUGGGUGUGGCUGUGUAAAAAGUGAUAGUGGGUGUAGCAGUGUGCAGAAAAAUUAAGAGACAGUGGGCGUGGCUGUGUAGGAAGAGGAAAGGGAUAGUGGGUGUGGCUAAGUGUGUUAGGGAGAAAGAAAUAGUGUAUAUUGCUGUCUGUAGGAGGUGAAACGGAUAGGUGGGCAUGGCUCUGUAUAGAAGGGGAAAGUGAUAGUGGGUGUUUCUGUAAAAAGAUAGAAAUAGUGGGUGUAGCUAUGUAAAGGCGGGGAAAAAGGGCAGAGAUUGGUAAUUUAUUGUUGCUGUUUAGCCUGAGAACAAUCCUGAUCAAGUAGAGUUUAAGAUCAAAGGCAAUCCAGCUGUGACCAUCACGUUUGUUGAGGGUUGUCUAAAAUUACAUUAUUUAAUGUGUCCUUUUCUGUGUUUAUUUUUU